UAUUAAAUAUUUCAUUCAUUUGUAUUGUUAAAAACUAGUGUGGUUGACAGAAUAACUAGACAGUGACAUGUAGUGUGCCACUGUACCUCAUACUGAUGUACAUAGACCGAUUUUUAAUAGUAAAAAUGGAUGAAAUUUUUAACA
rfam:Gossypium raimondii Chr04_contig_727, whole genome shotgun sequence.